rnacentral:misc_RNA from 1 species
UCUCUAAGAAGUUAUGGAUUACACCUUUGUCAAAAGGAUUGACCCGCCGAUCAUAUCGAUAUCUAAAGUUCUCAUAUGUAGACUGGUUUGUGCCAAUGAGGUACAGAUGGAAGACAGACAAGCCACCAACAAACCAGACUGAUAUGAAUGUAUAACCAAUCAACACAAUGGAGGCAGGAGUCUUGGCCAUUGCUUUCCAGAUGUUGGUCUGCGCACCAUCCAUGAUCCUUUUAAUGUAGAUCCAGCAGAAGCCAUGGACGUACAAGCAAAGAAGGGUAGUCGAGAAUACAAACAUGAAGAAGAAGCGGUAAUUCCUCAAUCCAAUACAUUGCCCGACCCAGGGACAGUGAUGGUCAAA